UUAGCAGGCCACCUUAUCGCUUAAUGCUAACAAGUUUAGUGUUCAGAGGAAAGUCCGGACACCAUAGUGCAGUAUAGCGGGUAACGCCCGUCCGUCGAGAGACGAGGACCAGUGCAACAGAAAGCAAGUACAGUUCGGCUGUAGUGAAAUCAGGUAAACUCUAUACGGUGAAACGUCAUGUAAAUCGGUGUUUGAGGGUUGCACGCCCGAGCCGAAGGGUAGGCGGUUGGAAUCUUUGGGCAACCUUAGAUCUAGAUAAAUGAUAAGGGCCCGUUUUUACGGGAACAGAAUCCGGCUUAUGGCCUGCUUUUUAU
rnacentral:RNase_P_RNA from 1 species